ACUCCAUUAUGAUUUUUCAAAAAUCAUAAAAUUUAAUUUUUAAGACACUUCUAGUGCGCUAAAUCAAGUUCAACAAUAUCGAUAGUCGAUUAAUAAUAGAAUAAUAGCUGAAUUCGUAAUAAAGGCUCUUUCUAUAUAUAUUUCAAUGCAUCAUCAACAAAUAAUAUUAGCAUCAGUUGAGCUGGAAUACUAUCAGUAGUAAACGGGCUUCGUUCCCACCCAUUUAAUUUUGAUGAUGGAGCCUCCAAAUCGACGAUCGAUAUCAUUGAAUAUGAACUAUACCACUCGAAAUGUUUAGAAAUCAAUUUUCAAUUUUUUCGACAUCAUUAACCUAAUAAUCAAAGGGUUUCAAAAUUUAUAAUUUUAAUGGUCGAUAUGAGGUAUUUUCUCGUUUAACAGUGUAAACAUAUCCAAACCGAUUGAAUUUUGGUAAAAUUUUUUUAAAACUAUUUAGAAUAAGAUCUAAAUUCUCGAUCUUGAUUACAAAAUUUCUAUCAUCACUUUUUAGAGAAUAUUCAUUUUCAGCCAUUCAAUUUUGUGUUCACUGAUGGAUAAGAAAAUAAUAUCAGAAAAGUAUGAAAUUUGAUUUCUAAAUGCUUUAAGUGGUAUAAAUCAUAUUCAACAAUACCGAUCGUUGAUUUGUAGGCUCUACCAUCAAAAAUAAAUAAAUGGCAAUAAAACUCGUUUGCUACCGAUAGUAUUCUAGCUCAACUCAUAUUAGUAUUAUUACGGUAAAGAUAGCUUAAAAGUGUGUAAAGUUAGAGAAAUUAAAGCCUACAACAGUGUAUUCCCACAUCCUAUGCCCAGCACUAUUUUUAGCACUUUUCUAUACGGUUGGUUUGAGAUUAGUUAAUGUUCAUUGAAAAAACUUCAUUACAUUGUCCUAUGUAAUUUAUAGUUCACAACAGUAUAUUGGACAUUUUUAUUUUUGUACACAUUAGUUUCCGAUUUGAUAGAUUAUGGACAUGAUUGUUUCGCUGAAAUUGGACUUUGGGUAGAAGUAGACUUUGGGUUUAAGUAAAGUUCAGUGAAAAUUAUUUUUUUUCCGCUGUUUGUUUCGUAAUUAUGGAAGUGAAAUUUUAUUAGUUCUGCUGUUUGUUUGGUAGGAAGUGUAUAAUAUAAAACUAUAAUUUAUAUAUAAAUAAUAAAUACUUUAAUAAAUAAAAAUAAUAUAAUUAUAUUUUUAUAUAAUUAAAAUUUAAUUUAAAAUAAAUAAAUUAUUUUUUAUAUAUAAAUUAUAGUAAUACAAUAAUAAAAUUAUAAAGCAAAAAAAUAUCAAUAUUUAAUUAAUCAAUUUUUAUUAUAUUUUUAUUGUACAAAUUAAAUAAAAAAAAUAUUAAAACUUAACUAAUCAAUUUUUAUCAUAUUUUAAAUAUACCAACUGAAUAAAAAAAUAAUUAGUAAUAUAAUUAAAUAUAUUUAAAUGUAACUAUCUUUAUCUAGUAUAUUAUUUUAUUAUUUUUUCUUCAUCUCACCUCUCCGUAAGUGACUCGGCUCAUGAUGGCCGAAGUCAAUUACGCCGUUUGAGAUUCACUCGAGUUUUGACCGUAACUUUUUUACCGCAAAUCAAACAACGGAAGUGAUUAUUUACGAUGAAAACGACUUCCCUCCACUCCACUCCCACCCCACUUCCGCCCAAACAAACAUGCCCUAUAUGUAGAUUUUAAGGGUUAAUUUCAUUCUUGCCUCUCUAAAUUUUAGAAGUAUCAAAAAUACUCCUAUAAAUUUUGUUAUAUCAUUAUUUCUCUUUCCAAUACAUUUUUUUUUUUUCAAAAAUACCCUCGCCGUUAUACUCCGUCUCUUCAAAUCAUAUUAACCAUAGUUAAAUGGUGGUCUAACACAUGUUAAAAUUUGAAAUGUCCGUUUUGCCCAUGAGUUGAGAAUCUUUUGAAGGAUAUGUUUAUUAUAUGACUUUAGUAUUUAGCCCCUAACUUUUGUUCAUUAUUUGUUUAACAUCCAAACUAAUUAAUGUUGCUCACCGGUAUUCUUUCGUACUAUUUGGCUCCUAACUUUUGUUCAUUAUUUAUUGGCUAAAUUACAGAAAAUUUCUAUGUAAUAACCCGCUUUUUUUCUUUCCCCCCAUGACAUUUAAAAAUCUACACUUUGCCCCCCUGUAAAAUAAAAAAUGUUCACAGGGGGGGUUACGGUGUGUAAAAUGACCAUUUUACCCCUCGCCAUUGUCGUCUUCUUCCCCAUCUUCCUCAGCCGCCCCUUCAUCCGGUCGCGAUUCCCAUCUCAAUCGGCCGCGAUUUCUCUCCAUUUCCUUCUCCACCUGCUCCCCUUCUCCUCCUGCACCCUCGCCGCCCUCGAUUUUGGCGACAGUAGGAGAAAUCGAGGUGGGCGACAGUAGGAGAAGGGCAAAGAAGGCGAAGGCGAGGCGGCGGAGGACGGCGAAGGGGAUGUGGGUGAGGGCGAGGCAGUGGAGGACGGCGAGGCGGCGAGGAGGCGGCGAGGCGGCGAGCCGGAGGGAGGCGAAGCAACAGGGAGAUGGCGGAGGGGUAUUUUCGGCAUAAAAAUAUAUUUUUUAACGGAACCCUAAUGGUAGGGGGUGAAGUGCACAUUUUUUAUUUUACAGGGGGGCAAAUUGUAAGUUUUUUAAAUGUCAGGGAGGGAAAGUGAAAAAACGGGUUAUUAUAAGGAGGUUUUCUGUAAUUUAACCUUAUUUAUUUUAGUUAGUUGUAUUUAAAAUUUUAUUUAACUUAAAUUACUUUGUUAGCCAUUACUCAUAUUUUUUUCAAAA
rnacentral:lncRNA from 1 species